rnacentral:piRNA from 1 species
AAAGGGCUGUAACCACUAAAGGCUUAUGG